rnacentral:rRNA from 1 species
GACGAACGCUGGCGGCGUGCUUAACACAUGCAAGUCGAACGAUGAACCCGGAGCUUGCCCCGGCGGAUUAGUGGCGAACGGGUGAGUAACACGUGAGUAACCUGCCCUUGACCCUGGGAUAACUGCUAGAAAUGGUAGCUAAUACCGGCUACGAACCUCUGGGCCAUAACCAGGGGGUGGAAAGAAAAUCGGUCAAGGAUGUACUCGCGCCCUAUCAGCUAGUUGGUGAGGCAACGGCUCAGCAAGGCGACGACGGGUGGCCGGCCUGAGAGGGGAACCGGCCACAAUGGGAAUGAGAGACGGCUAAGAGUAGUACGGGGGGCAGCAGUGGGGAAUAUUGCAUAAUGGGCGAAAGCCUGAUGCAGCAACGCCGCGUGAGGGAUGACGGCCUUCGGGUUGUAAACCUCUUUUAGUAGGGAAGAAGCGAAAGUGACGGUACCUGCAGAAAAAGCACCGGCUAACUACGUGCCAGCCGCCGCAGUAA